UGACCUCGAAUCAGGUAGGGAUACCCGCUGAACUUAAGCAUAUCAAUAAGCGGAGGAAAAGAAACCAACAGGGAUUGCCUUAGUAACUGCGAGUGAAGCGGCAAGAGCUCAAAUUUGAAAUCUGGCGCCUUUGGCGUCCGAGUUGUAAUUUGGAGAGGCAUCUUCGGGGUCGGCGCCGGCCUAAGUUCCUUGGAACAGGACGUCAUAGAGGGUGAGAAUCCCGUUCUCGGCUGGCUGUCCGUCCUCAUGUGAAGUGUCUUCGACGAGUCGAGUUGUUUGGGAAUGCAGCUCAAAAUGGGUGGUAAACUCCAUCUAAAGCUAAAUACUGGCGAGAGACCGAUAGCGCACAAGUAGAGUGAUCGAAAGAUGAAAAGCACUUUGAAAAGAGAGUUAAAAAGUACGUGAAAUUGUUGAAAGGGAAGCGCUUGAGACCAGACUCGGCGUGAGGUAUUCAUCGUCCCUUCUGGGGCGUGCACUUGCCUCUCGUCGGGCCAGCAUCGGUUGCGGCGGCGGGAUAAAGACCCGGGGAAUGUGGCUGCUCUCGGGCAGUGUUAUAGCCCCGGGUGCCAUGCCGCCUGCUGCGACCGAGGACCGCGCUUCGGCUAGGAUGCUGGCACAAUGGUCUUCAGCGACCC
rnacentral:rRNA from 1 species